rnacentral:rRNA from 1 species
AACGAACGCUGGCGGCAUGCCUAACACAUGCAAGUCGAACGAGACCUUCGUGUCUAGUGGCGCACGGGUGCGUACCGCGGGGGAACCUGCCCUUAGGUUCGGUAUACCUCCCCGAAAGGGGUGCUAAUACCGGAUAAUGUCUUCGGACCAAAGAUUUAUCGCUUUUGGAUGGGCCCGCGUUGGAUUAGCUAGUUGGUAGGGUAAAAGCCUACCAAGGCGACGAUCCAUAGCUGGUCUGAGAGGAUGACCAGCCACACUGGGACUGAGACACGGCCCAGACUCCUACGGGAGGGAGCAGUGGGGAAUAUUGGACGAGGGGCGAAAGCCUGAUACAGCAAUGCCGCGUGAGUGAUGAAGGCCUUAGGGUUGUAAAGCUCUUUUAGCCGGGAUGAUAAUGACAGUACCGGGAGAAUAAGCACCGGCUAACUCCGUG